UCCGAUCUAAGAGACAGGUUGAGGCC
rnacentral:piRNA from 1 species